UCAGUAACACGUGGCUAACCUACCCUUAGGACGGAAACAUCCCCGGGAAACUGGGGUCAAUUUCCGAUAGGUGAAAAUUCCUGGAAAGGUUUUUUGCCCAAAGGGCGUUUGGAGCAUGCUUUCAAGCGUUGCCUAAGGAUGGGGCCGCGACCGAUCAGGUUGUUGGUGAGGUAAUGGCUCACCAAGCCUAUUACCGGUUCGGGCCGUGGGAGCGGUAGCCCGGAGAUGGGUGCUGAGACAAGAACCCAGGCCCUACGGGGCGCAGCAGUCGCGAAAACUUCGCAAUAAGCGAAAGCUUGACGGGGCUAUCCCGAGUGCCGUCUGCUGAAGAUGGCUUUUACCCAGUAUAGAUAGCUGGGAGAAUAAGGAGAGGCCAAGUCUGGUGUCAAGCCGCCGCGGUAAUACCAGCUCUCCGAGUGGUUGGAAUAAUUAUUGGGCCCUGAAGCAUCCGUAGCCGCUUGCACAAGUCCCCUGUUAAAACCCAGCAAUUUAUCGUUGGUCUGCGGGGCAUACUGUCCUGGCUUGUAGGGCGAGAGAGUCCGUCAGUACUUUCCGGGGUAGGGUGAAAUCCUAUGAUCACGGACAAGACCACCAGUGGACGAAGGCUGUCUGCUAGAACGCGCACUGACGGUGAGGGAUGAAAGCUGGCGCAGCGAACCUGAAUUAGAUACCCGGCUAGUCCCAGCUGUAAACUAUGCAGGCUAGCUGAUGAGCGGGACGUGCCGCUCUAGUGCGCAGGGCAGCUGUAAGCAUGCCGCCUGUAGUACGGUCGCUAGAUGAAACU
rnacentral:rRNA from 1 species